ACUCCUACGGGAGGCAGCAGUAGGGAAUAUUGGACAAUGGGCGAAAGCCUGAUCCAGCAAUGCCGCGUGAGUGAUGAAGGUUUAUGGAUCGUAAAGCUCUGUCGUAUAGGAAUAAAUGCCUGUGGUUAAUACCCGCAGGAGCUGAAGGUACUAUACAAGAAAGCACCGGCUAACUACGUGCCAGCAGCCGCGGUAAUACGUAGGGUGCGAGCGUUAAUCGGAAUUACUGGGCGUAAAGCGCAUGCAGGCGGCCUGUUAAGUCAGAUGUGAAAGCCCGGGGCUUAACCUCGGAAUUGCAUUUGAAACUGGCAGGCUAGAGUUUUCUUGUAGAGGGGGGUAGAAUUCAGGUGUAGCGGUGAAAUGCGUAGAGAUCUGAAGGAAUACCAGUGGCGAAGGCGGCCCCCUGGAGCAAAGACUAGACGCUCAGAUGCGAAAGCGUGGGGAGC
rnacentral:rRNA from 1 species